GAAACUCAAAUGAAUUGACGGGACCCGCACAAGCAGCGGAGCGUGCGGUUUAAUUCGUUUGCUACACGAAGAACCUUACCUGGGUUUGACAUAUAGGUUGUAGGGAACUGAAAGGGACCGACCUUCGGGAGCCUAUACAGGUGUUGCAUGGCUGUCGUCAGCUCGUGUCGUGAGAUGUUCGGUUAAGUCCGCUAACGAGCGCAACCCUCGUCGUAUGUUAUAUGUGUCAUACGAGACUGCCGGUAAAAGCCGGAGGAAGGUGAGGAUGAUGUCAAGUCAGCAUGACCUUUAUAUCCAGGGCUACACACACGCUACAAUGGUCUGUACAAUGGGUAGCCAAGCCGCGAGGCGGAGCCAAUCCUGAAAGCAGGCCUCAGUUCAGAUUGCAGUCUGCAACUCGACUGCAUGAAGCCGGAGUUGCUAGUAACCGCAGGUCAGCAAUACUGCGGUGAAUACGUUCCCGGGGCUU
rnacentral:rRNA from 1 species